UACGUAGGGUGCAAGCGUUAAUCGGAAUUACUGGGCGUAAAGGGCGCGUAGGCGGUUCGCUAAGUUGGAUGUGAAAACUCUGGGCUCAACCCAGAGCCUGCAUCCAAAACUGGCGGGCUAGAGUUCUGGAGGGGGUAGCGGAAUUCCUGGUGUAGCGGUGAAAUGCGUAGAUAUCAGGAGGAACACCGGUGGCGAAGGCGGCUACCUGGACAGAAACUGACGCUGAGGCGCGAAAGCUAGGGGAGCAAACAGG
rnacentral:rRNA from 1 species